AACACUCACAACCACUGAAACACAGCCACUAGGCAAGACAACUACAAAUAUAUAUACAGCACCAGACAUCUUAACGCACCAUGGCUGGUAUUCCUGCUGCUGAGGACAACACCCAAAUGCCCACGUUGAUGGUCUUAGCCAUGAGUGGUGUGCGGAAAUCUAGUGCCUUGACAGGAUGGCACACAGCCACAUAACGGUCCACGCUCAUCAUGACACUUUGGCACCUUCUAAAGAGAAGCAAGGAGAGCAAAGCAAUUCAUUUGAAGUCUCCAAAUGGAUAAAUAUAUCACCGCAAUUAGGAGACAGAAGGAGGGUUUGAGUGUGAGAAAUAGAUACUAAGUGAGAAACAAGGCCCCUGAUUAGUUCUUCAACUGAAAGUCUCAGUGACAGAUGCAUCUGUUUGUGGCUUCUUUUCUCUUCCUACUCAUUCAUCUUCUCUCAUCACUGACAAAGAUGCCAAUGACAGAGGAAGGGCUUUUAAGAUCUUUAGAAUGCAUCACAAAUGUACUAUGCUGGCUGGACUGGAUUAUUUAGCAGUAGUCAAAACAGACUCCUUUAGUUUAAAUAUGACUUAUUUAAAAAGGACUUCUUUAAUUUAGAAGAUAGUGUCUACGUAGGUGCUGGAACAAGAUUCAACUGGAUGAAGCAAGCAUGUACAUGCUAAAAAGUGUCAAAUCAUAUUUCCAUCUCUUGAGUGGUGUUUCUCCUUUAGGUUUUUCAAUCCCAAUGUGAGCAGCAACCUGAAACCAAGUUAAUGACAGCUUCAUCCUGAUUAUUAUACUUAUUCUGUUAAACUAAGAAUACAUCAGUAAAAUGCUGUUACUAAAAUGUUACUGAUCUUUUUUCACUAUGAUAUUUAUUGUUCAGAUAUCUUUAAGAUAAUUGUUUUAGCACAUGAAGGAUAUGCUUACUUGAAAAGUGUUCACGCUGCAUACAUGUUAUGUGAAACGACUACACCUGUAAUGUGUCAUGCUUAAUGUUGUUGUUUUCAUAUAAGGACAAUAAUUUAUUAUAUACCUAAUAAAGGCGUAUCUUAAAGCUCUGGGAUUACCCGAAUGUAUAUAGAGCAUACAAAAAAACGUGUUGUGUUUAGUGGAAUUUUUUUAUGUUUACCUAAUGUUUUAAUUUUAACCCAAAGUCUCACUCAAAUUUAGAGUGCUUUCGUUAGAUUUCAUACUAAUGCCACUGUAAGAAUGAAAAAAUCUGACCAGAAUCUCUGCCUCUUAAUCAUUCGGUGAGUUUCCAUCCAUGUCAGUUUUUUUUUUAAACAAACAUUUGUUCAUAAAUGAAUGCAAAAUGACUUUUGAAUGAAUGCUACAAUCAACAACACUGAACUUAAACAUCAGCCUAUUGUAUGCCCAACAAUAAGCUUUGCCAUUUUUGUAUUCCUGUCAUUAUGUAAAUCAAUGAACCUAGAAUGGAUUUCUUCUUUUAAAUAAAUCAACUAAAUAAUAUAAGUAAUUCAGACAAUAAUGAAAUGCCACUUGCGGGAGUGUCAUUGUAUGUUGUACUCCAGGGGCACAGGCAAUUUGUUUUCAAGGCUUUAUUACUGAUGUGAUAAAAGAAAGCAUGGAGUGGGAAAUUAGCUUAAAACAUGAGUAGCUGUGGGAACACAUGUAGACAUUCACUCACAUCAAGUGGCUGGCACUGAACUGUUAUCUUUUACCGCAGAUUUAACAUUAAAUUUCUACCUCUGUCCUUCGUGUGUCUUUGAGUGACAGUACAAUAGCAGUAUUUACAGCUGUUAUUUCAGA